ensembl:lincRNA Gm14224 predicted gene 14224
GAGAAAACAGACUCAAGGCAGUGAGGCAAGGGGACCUGGUUUGAACCUCAGCAGCGGUGGCAGCAGCAGCAGCGAAAGGGACACUGAGACCAGAGGGUGGGGACAUGAGGCCUCUCAAGACGAAGAGUAAAUGUAUGGAAACAUCAGGAUUCGAAGGCAACCCAUCGAUCAACUUCUGGGUUAGGUUUCCUGGAACCAGAUAACAGAGUCUUCCUGGGAAAGGCGAAUGAGUGCAGGGGCAAGGAGAGUGCACACACCCACACAGUGCCCCCGGGGACCCCAGCCUCACUAUGACCUCUGCUCUGUGCAAGGUGUGGGAAGGAGGAAGGCCCUUCCAUUCACCAAUGUUCAAGCUCCACGAGCAGCCAAUCGGGGCUCUGAAGGAGGAAGAAACUUUGGUUCCCCUGGCAACACAUACAAAAGCCUCUCCUCAGCAGCAAGCAGCUGGAAGAGGGAUGUGGACUGGAUUCCACCCAACCAGAUCUCAGAAGCAGGAGCCUGGAUGAGCGCUUUUCAUUCUAACUCCUGAACUCUGGUUCAUCCAGGUCCAUCCCCAGGAGCGGGGGACCAACGGGCCAAAGACGCUCCCAACAGUGGUGACUCCUCUUCCAUCUUUCAGAAUCCACUGACAACUAAGUUGUUGCUUAGGGUGGGCCUGGGGCUGGGGCUAUCCUUCCAUCAGUUCAUCACCUAGGCCUUCUUUUCCAAGGCAGCUUCAAUGCCGAUGGAUGCCCACCUGGAUCUGAGCAAGCGCCCUCCCCUUUCUCUUAAGCUCCCACUGCCGUCCCCACCCCGACUGUCCUUGAGGAGCAUCUGUGACCUACGGUUGCUAGCCCACACCCACCAUAAAGCAAAAGGAAAG